rnacentral:rRNA from 1 species
GACUUCUGGUCUAAUGCGCCUGGCCCGCGGUCGUAAGACAUGUGAGUGCCGGUGCGCGUUUACCAUCCUUCUAGAAAACAAGUCUUCCCUUUACUGGGCCGGACUUGGGAUCUAGAUCAUUUACUUUGAAAAAAUUAGAGUGUUUAAAGCAGGCUAUUGCUAUGAAUACAUUAGCAUGGAAUAAUAAUUUAGGACUUUUGUCCUAUUUUGUUGGUUUCUAGGACGAAAGUAAUGAUUGAUAGGGAUAGUUGGGGGUGCUAGUAUUCAGCGGCCAGAGGUGAAAUUCUCGGAUUCGCUGAAGACUAACUUAUGCGAAAGCAUU